rnacentral:rRNA from 1 species
GUGAGGAAUAUUGGUCAAUGGGCGAGAGCCUGAACCAGCCAAGUCGCGUGAAGGAUGAAGGUUUUAUGAAUUGUAAACUUCUUUUGCAGGGGAAUAAAGUACGGUACGUGUACCGUUUUGUAUGUACUCUGCGAAUAAGGAUCGGCUAACUCCGUGCCAGCAGCCGCGGUAAUACGGAGGAUCCGAGCGUUAUCCGGAUUUAUUGGGUUUAAAGGGUGCGUAGGUGGUUUGAUAAGUCAGCGGUGAAAGUUUGCAGCUUAACUGUAAAAAUGCCGUUGAAACUGUCGGACUUGAGUGUAAAUGAGGUAGGCGGAAUGCGUGGUGUAGCGGUGAAAUGCAUAGAUAUCACGCAGAACUCCGAUUGCGAAGGCAGCUUACUAAGCUACAACUGACACUGAAGCACGAAAGCGUGGGGAUCAAACAGGAUUAGAUACCCGAGUAGUCC